GGGUUAAAACUCGAAAUCAGUCAAACUCGGUCAAAAUCGGUCAAACUCGUAAAAUCGGUCUGAUUUUACCGAUUUUAACUGAGUUUGACCGAUUUUGACCGAUUUCGAGUUUGAACCC
rfam:Populus trichocarpa scaffold_17_contig_227, whole genome shotgun sequence.